rnacentral:lncRNA from 1 species
AUGCUGACUUCAAACCACCAAGCAUCUCCAGCUGCCAGCCCUCUCCUUCCUUGGUCCAUGACAAAUGGGAACCUGACCUGUGUUCUCCUGCAGCCACCACCAACACUGUGGGCAGGCUCUUGGGAUUAGGAUCAUCCCCCAAACACAUGCACCCAGAAGUGUCCUCUUGAUGAUCUGGCUAUCCUCCUCAUCCUCAGAAAGACUGAAGAAAGUGAUGCUGCUGAAGCUAUUACUCUAAAAGCUAAACUGACAAGGCUGCAUGGGUAAAUUUGGCUCCCAGUUUGAAUUUCCACCCAAGCACCCAACAAGAAAGAAAAGCUCACUAUGGAAACUUUGUCCUUACACUGUGGCAGACUGACAUGCUCAUCCUCUGCAUUUCAAAUAUGAGCACUUGUAAGGAAUUGACCUUGCAAGACUUGCUCAUGCCCUGAAACAAAAGGGUUUAUAUUGCUUUUUAAAUCAUAUUCUAAGAUCCGCUAUUCCCAUUAUCCAUAUAAAUGUCUAAUCCUCUUUUGAAUUCUGCUAAGCUCUUGGCACUGGUAACAUCUUGUGAAGUAGGUUCCAAUGUCGUAACAGUUUUGAGGUCUUUUCUUUGAUAUCAUGUAGUUUUUGGCCUGCAGUUUCAUUGAAUGCCCUCUCUUUCGUGUAUUACGAGAGAAAAAUAACUGCCCUUCUUUUUUCAUCACUCUACCCCUGUAUUUUUUUUUUUUCCAAGCACUUCUAAUUGUCUUUUAUGUGAGAUAAGGGGUGCCCAUCUUUAUGUUGCCUCUUCUCUGGCAAUGGCUGCGUGCCACUGAACACAUCCUGUGCCUUGCUCCAGCUGGAUCGAGGCAGGGGCUGCCAGCAGAUAAUAAUGGGAAGAGCUGAUUUUAUGAGUAUGUUCAAGGAGGGCAUAAAUGAGAAAAUACUACAAUCUCCUAAUGAACAAUAAGCAAGCAGAAAAAUGGCUAUAUUAAUUGAGUUAAUUACUACCAAUGAAUUACUUGUCCAGUUCUGUCACUAGCACUUAAACAUAAUGACCAACUAAUUAAAAAAUGUAGAAACAAAUUUAUCUUCUUGAAUAAAAAGAAACAUUAUGCACA